rnacentral:rRNA from 1 species
AUGGCACGGUGCAUGAAGAACAUCGGGAAAGGACUGUGGGCAGCCACCAAAGUGUUGAUAUGCAUGUGCCUGGUGACGCUGCUUGUCGUGUCAUCUGAACAGAUGAAAUCGGAUGCCUGUGAUAAAGAUUGGAGCCUGACAUGGGACAACAGCUCAUGUAUCCUUCGCGGCACCUGCAACAAGCCCUGCAGAAGGGAGAACUUUGAGCGCGGCAUCUGCAAAAAACUCUUUCAUUGCAUGUGCUACAGACACUGCAACACUGAAUCCAUCUAG